ACGCAUCACAAAUUAAUAUUGUUGGGCUACUGCCGCCGUGUCUCUGUAUUUCAUUGCCAAACUAAACCUCCACUGAGAGAGAGAGAGAGGUUUUGGCUGCACUCACUGAGUCAAUCUCCCAUCAAGAGCUGUUGCUUAAAGCUAGGAUGUUGACGUGCAUAGCUUGCUCGAAGCAGCCCAACGCCGCCGGAUCUCUCUCGGAGCUGCCUCAGGACGACCGAACUCCUACCUCCAAGAAGGCCAUCAGAAACCUCACUGCACAAAUCAAGGACAUGGCUGUCAAGGCAUCUGGUGCAUACAGGAACUGCAAGCCCUGUGGUGGUUCGUCAGGGCACAGCAAGGGCCAGAAUUACUUGGACUCGGAUGCUGGCUCAGUGUCAGAGAGGUUUUAUGGCUCAUACAAAAGAGCUGGCAGUUCAGAGUCCACCCCACGGCCUUGGGGAAAGGAAAUGGAUGCCAAGUUGAAGGCCCUCUCUAGUGGCUAUACCACACCGGCUUCAGUUAGCAGUAUAAGCGAGGCGUUUGUUCUUAUGGAGGAAGAUGAGCCAAAAGAAUGGGUUGCACAGGUUGAGCCUGGGGUGUUGAUUACAUUUGUUUCACUGCCACAGUGUGGAAAUGAUAUUAAGAGGAUCAGAUUCAGCCGAGAGAUAUUUAACAAAUGGCAAGCACAACGCUGGUGGUCGGAGAACCAGGAUAAAGUAAUAGAAUUAUACAACGUCCAAAAGUUCAGUCGUCAUGCAGUACCAGCACCAACUCCUCCUCGGUCAGAAGAUGAGAUUUCAAAAGUUGAAUCCAUGGAUGAUACCCCUGAGACACCUCGACUGAGCAAGGAGCGUCUUCCUCAUCACUUUUGUCAGAGCUUGCCCGAACAGCACCCAUUGCAAUCUCACGAGUACAACGAUUCUGGUGGUCUUAAUUCAACACCAAAAGUCUCCAGUGCUAGUGCUGCAAAGAUUGAGACAUCAUCAAUUGUUGCUUCUUCACGUUCAAGUUCAUCAAGGGAAGUUGAUCACUCUGGAGAGCUUUUAGCAAGCAAUUCUAGUGAUUUAGAGACUGAGUGGGUUGAACAAGAUGUGCCUGGAGUCUACAUUACCAUCAGAAUACUUCCAAAUGGUGCUCGAGAGCUUAAAAGAGUGCGGUUCAGCCGAGAAAUAUUUGGAGAAUCGCAAGCAAGAUUGUGGUGGGAAGAGAACAGAUUGAGGAUUCAACAGCAAUACUUGUGACUUUUGGCAAACUCAGUAGGAAGAUACACCUACCAUUCUCAUGAGUUCUUUAACCAAUAGCUACUAAACUAUGGAUGGGUGCUGUAAACUUCGGGUUGCAGUGUGUCGAAAUUUCAACUUGCUCUGCUGAAUUUCUGAAAUCACCUUUAUUAAGACAAGACAUUGCAGGAGAGAUAGACAGCUGAUAAGCUGCGAACACAAAGCGCUGCCAACUUAGAAAAAGAAAACGGGCAAUGGUUAGGCCUCGGAUCACAUUCCCACUUGGUUAGUCUUUUUUGGAAUAUUGAAUUAUGACUUUCACUGAUAUUGUUUGUUAGUACUUUGUUGGCUGUGCAUAAAGUAUUGAAAUGGUCCUAGUUGUCUAGUUUCGCUUUAUUGUGUGAGUAUGAGAGGUACAGAGGGUGUCUUCUUUUGAGUGAUUUGGAUUGAUGAAUGUCUGCUGCUUUGUUUCGCUCGAUUGAUGUUUGUAGUUAGGUAAGGUACAAUUGGAAUUUUGUUUCUCGGGAUUCCCGCUGUGCCUCUUUUUGGUGAUGGUACUUGAACUAACCCUCUCUCUCAAUAAGGGUCCCUUUUAGAAUCUUAAGUUUGUGUAGAAUUUAUGUUGAAGUUCACCUCUUGAAUCUGAGAUGUUUAUGAAGGAUUUUCUUCAAGCUGUGCAUACAGUCCACUGGGCAAGCUCCUGUCUCCUCUGCAUGGUGCCAUCUCUUUCAUAUACUCUUUUCAUCAUAGAACAAGUGUCACAUCUGGAUAUAUAAAAUUUGUGCCCUCGUAAGUGUUAAAUUAAUGUCAAAAUUUACAAAUUA